GUCCCAGCAGCCGCGGUAAUACGGAGGAUGCGAGCGUUAUCCGGAUUUAUUGGGUUUAAAGGGUGCGUAGGCGGUUGUAUAAGUCAGCGGUGAAAUUUUCCGGCUUAACCGGGAGACUGCCGUUGAUACUGUAUAGCUUGAAUACGGUUGCUGUGAGUGGAAUGUGUGGUGUAGCGGUGAAAUGCAUAGAUAUCACACAGAAUAUCGAUUGCGAAGGCAGCUCACAAAGCCGUUAUUGACGCUGAUGCACGAAAGUGUGGGGAUCAAACAGGAUUAGAUACCCUGGUAGUCCACACUGUAAACGAUGAUAACUAGCUGUCGGCGAUACAUAGUCGGUGGCCAAGCGAAAGCGAUAAGUUAUCCACCUGGGGAGUACGACCGCAAGGUUGAAACUCAAAGGAAUUGACGGGGGCCCGCACAAGCGGAGGAACAUGUGGUUUAAUUCGAUGAUACGCGAGGAACCUUACCCGGGCUCGGACGGUGCAGUAAUAUGGUAGAGAUAUCAUAGCUAGCAAUAGACUGUAUCGAGGUGCUGCAUGGUUGUCGUCAGCUCGUGCCGUGAGGUGUCGGCUUAAGUGCCAUAACGAGCGCAACCCUUGUCGUUAGUUACCAUCAAGUAAAGUUGGGGACUCUAGCGAGACUGCCACCGUAAGGUGUGAGGAAGGGGGGGAUGACGUCAAAUCAGCACGGCCCUUACGUCCGGGGCGACACACGUGUUACAAUGGUAGGUACAGAGGGCCGCUAUCCAGUGAUGGAGUGCCAAUCUCAAAAACCUAUCUCAGUUCGGAUCGGAGUCUGCAACUCGACUCCGUGAAGUUGGAUUCGCUAGUAAUCGCGCAUCAGCCAUGGCGCGGUGAAUACGUUCCCGGGCNUUGUACACACCGCCCGUCAAGCCAUGG
rnacentral:rRNA from 1 species